rnacentral:rRNA from 1 species
UACGAAGGGUGCUAGCGUUGUUCGGAAUCACUGGGCGUAAAGCGCGCGUAGGCGGCGAGAAAAGUCAGGGGUGAAAUCCCACAGCUCAACUGUGGAAUUGCCUUUGAAACUAACUCGCUAGAGUGUCGGAGGGGAUAGCGGAAUUGCUAAUGUAGAGGUGAAAUUCGUAGAUAUUAGCAGGAACACCGGUGGCGAAGGCGGCUAUCUGGACGACAACUGACGCUGAGGCGCGAAAGUGUGGGGAUCAAACAGG